AAGCCAUCAUACUUUGUCUAAAAUAAAGUCUAUCUAUCGAAUAUAUAUGAAGUACUUGAAGAGACGUCUGUCGUUUAACCGAAACCGUUUUGGUUAAAUGAAAAAUACUUUGUUCUCGUUAAGAAAAUAGGUUGGUUCGAUUCAAGUGGCCAUAAAUUAGUAUAUGAAAAUAUAUAUAUAUAUAUGAUAUCGCUAUUGGAAUAAUACUUCUCAUAGAUCAAUGCAAGAGAAGAUGGGCACGGAUGAUGGAAAUAAAAGAAUUAGGGGUAUGAUGAUGAUGAUAUUGUUGAUUAUGGUGGUUGUAGAGCAAGCAACCUCGUUCCAUCCUCAACCUCCCACUCUUGCACCCGCUCAACUUCCCCAUUUCUCUGGUUCACAAGAUUCUUGUAUACACGUAAUUUGUGCUUACAAAUGUGAGUUCAAAUGCUUAUGGAGGAGACCCUUUUCAGUUGAAUACAUGGAUUGUGUUGCUGAUUGUAUGCAAGAUUGCCUACCUCGUACUACAACAGAUGUCAACACCUUUACUCCUGCUUGCCCCAAAUUUGGAUUUGUUCCCAACGCGAAGGAAACUAGAAGGAUGAAGAGAGUUAUUCCACGUCACUUAUAGGUCUAAUUCUAUUAUAUUCUAAGAUAAGAGAAAAAUUUAGUAAGUGCUAGUCUAAAGGGCCAUGAAGUUCGAAGAAGAAAGCAACAUUGUUGCCUGGUAUUGAGACAAAUCCUAUGGUGAUCUCCUCUUCAAAUGAAAAGAAUCGCAACUCCUCAGAUCAUGACAAAGAUCAUAGCCACCAUUCAGGACAAAGAUUUUUCUUUCCACAACAACCCAUAUGUACUUGUGUAUUGUGUAAAUCUGAGUGGGGAAAAUCAAUAAAGCUUUUCAUUACCUUUUGGACAAAUUGCUUAUUGUAUCAGACCUGUAGGACCAAAAGGCGUUCCUCCUUUUUUGUUCCUUUUGCUUCUCAGCAGUAUUUUCUUAAACACUCGAAAUGGAGAGGAGGGUUAGGCAAAAAAGUGGGACAAAAUUGUCCCAUCUUUUAUAACACUUGUUUGCCUAACUAGCUCCUCUACAUUUCAAAUAGAGGAUUCUAUUCCCACUGCACCAUGGCAAUUUUUGUGUUAUGGGUCUGCAAUGGAUACUAUCAGGAGGUAGAAGCAAGCUACUUGGAAGGGAAAGAACGCGUGUCAGCAACAAAUGGCUCAUCUGUUACAGGUGGAAGCUUCUAGAAUAGUUAUCCAUCCUUAUGUUACUAUCUUUGUAAUUUACAUUUUUGUCCUUAAGGAUAUGCAUUUUAUGCGGAUUAAGAUGCGUUUAAUAAGCAUCUUUUCUAUUC